rnacentral:misc_RNA from 1 species
GCUACUACCGAUUGAAUGGUUUAGUGAGGACUCCUGAUUGGCGCCGCCGCCCCGGCAACGGAGCAGCGGACUGCCGAAAAGUUGUUCAAACUUGAUCAUUUAGAGGAAGUAAAAGUCGUAACAAGGUUUCCGUAGGUGAACCUGCAGAAGGAUUCAAGAUCGAAGAGCACACGUCUGAACUCCCGUUCCGGGGCCUUAACUCGUUUGCCGUCCUCCGCUUGAAAAAAAAAAAACAUAGUAGUAGCACGAUCUAAUCAUAUGCUACACAUAUCCACUU